rnacentral:rRNA from 1 species
AACGAACGCUGGCGGCAGGCCUAACACAUGCAAGUCGAGCGGACCUUUCGGGGUCAGCGGCGGACGGGGGAGUAACGCGUGGGAAUAUGCCCUUCUCUACGGAAUAGUCCUGGGAAACUGGGGUUAAUACCGUAUACGCCCUUUGGGGGAAAGAUUUUUCGGGGAAGGAUUAGCCCGCGUUGGAUUAGGUAGUUGGUGGGGUAAUGGCCUACCAAGCCGACGAUCCAUAGCUGGUUUGAGAGGAUGAUCAGCCACACUGGGACUGAGACACGGCCCAGACUCCGACGGGAGGCAGCAGUGGGGAAUCUUAGACAAUGGGGGCAACCCUGAUCUAGCCAUGCCGCGGGAGUGAUGAAGGCCUUAGGGUUGUAAAGCUCUUUCAGCUGGGAAGAUAAUGACGGUACCAGCAGAAGAAGCCCCGGCUAACUCCGUG